rnacentral:rRNA from 1 species
GAGGAGUGAAUAGAGUGGCGAAACGGGUGAGUAACACGUGGGUAACCUCCCCUCGCAGGGGGAUAACCGGGGGGAAACACGGGCUAAUACCCCGUACGCUUGCUGGGGCGCAUGCUCCGGCAAGGAAAGGUAGCUUCGGCCAUCCGGCGAGGGAGGGGCCCGCGGCCCAUUAGCUAGUUGGUGGGGUAACGGCCCACCAAGGCGACGAUGGGUAGCUGGCCUGAGAGGGUGGUCAGCCACACUGGGACUGAGACACGGCCCAGACUCCUACGGGAGGCAGCAGCCAGGAAUCUUGCGCAAUGGGCGAAAGCCUGACGCAGCAACACCGCGUGGGCGAUGAAGGCCUUCGGGUCGUAAAGCCCUGUUGUCGGGGACGAAGGGCGAAGGGUUAAUAGCCCCUAGCCUGACGGUACCCGACGAGGAAGCCCUGGCUAACUACGUGCCAGCAGCCGCGGUAAUACGUAGGGGGCGAGCGUUGUCCGGAAUCAUUGGGCGUAAAGAGCGUGUAGGCGGCCCGGUAAGUCCGCUGUGAAAACCCGGGGCUCAACCCCGGGCGUGCAGUGGAAACUGCCGGGCUAGAGGGCGGCAGAGGCGAGUGGAAUUCCCGGUGUAGCGGUGAAAUGCGCAGAUAUCGGGAGGAACACCGGUAGCGAAGGCGGCUCGCUGGGCCGUUCCUGACGCUGAGACGCGAAAGCUAGGGGAGCGAACAGGAUUAGAUACCCUGGUAGUCCUAGCCGUAAACGAUGGGCACUAGGUGUGGGGGGAGUCGAAUCCCUCCGUGCCGCAGCCAACGCGUUAAGUGCCCCGCCUGGGGAGUACGGCCGCAAGGCUAAAACUCAAAUGAAUUGACGGGG